AUGCAAGUCAUUCCUUCAUCAAUAAGUAAUAGAAGCCUACUUGUCUCUAGAGAUACUGGUUCAGGGAGAAUAGCUUAUUUUCUAGUUCCUAUAAUUGCACGUUGUUCACAGAGAGAGCAAUGUACAAGCAAGCGUGGGCCCUUGGCUAUAGUCCUUGCUCCAACUAGAGAGCUGCGCCUACAGGUGGAGGAUCAAUCAAAUGUGCUUGGAAAGGGUUUACCAUUUAAAACUGCUCUAGUUGUUGGUGGAGACCCCUUGGCUCACCAAAUAUAUAGAAUUGAAAAUGGUGUCGAGCUAAUUGUUGGCACCCUUGGGAGACUAAUUGAUCUUCUGAUGAAACACAAUGUUGACCUUAAAGAUGUUUCUAUGUUUGUUUUGGAUCAAGUGGACUGCUUGCUAGAGAGAGGAUUCAGAGAUCAGGCCAUGCAGAUCUUUCGCACGCUCUCAUGUCCACAGGUUAUGAUGUUUUCAGCAACAGUACAUCCAGAAAUUGAGGAAUUGUCAAACUCACUGUCUAACAACUUGAUACACAUUUCUUGCGGGAACCCAGGUAAACCAAACAAAUCAGUUGGGCAAGUGGUAGUCUGGGUGGAGUCUAAGCACAAGAAGCAGAAGUUUUUUGAGAUAAUGAAGAGUAAGAAGCAUUCCAGAGUUGGUGCUGGUCUCUUGUCUGAAGCAAUUACUGCCGCUACUGGGUUGGAGGUUGUUUCUAUUCAUGGCGUGAAAACAAUGAAAGAGAGAAGAGAAAGAUUGAGACGGUUUCUCAUAGGGGAAGUAUCUGUUGUUGUUUGUACAGGGGUCUUGGGACGUGGAAUGUAUCUUCUAAAAGUACAUCAUGUGAUUUUGUUUGACAUGCCAAUUUCCAUUGAUGAAUAUAUUCACCAAGUUGGAAGAGCGUCUCGGAUGGGUGAGGAGGGUGUGCCUAUUGUCUUUGUGAAUGAGAAGGAUCGGAAACUUUUUAGAGAGCUUGUUCAGGUUCUGAAGACUGCAGGAGCUCCAAUUCCCCAGGAACUCUCUAAUUCAAAAUUCACCAGCAGUAUUUCUCUUGGGAAGAGAAAACUGAAUUCUCUGCCACCUUCUUGA
rnacentral:rRNA from 1 species